GCUUGUCUCAAAGAUUAAGCCAUGCAUGUCUCAGUAUAAGUUCCUGUACGGCGAAACUGCGAAUGGCUCAUUAAAACAGUUACAGUUUAUUUGAUGGUCGUUCCUUACAUGGAUAACUGUGGUAAUUCUAGAGCUAAUACAUGCUAAAAACCCCGACUUCGGAAGGGGUGUAUUUAUUAGAUACAAAACCAAUGCCCUUCGGGGCUCCUUGGUGAUUCAUGAUAACUAUACGAAUCGCACGGCCUUGCGCCGGCGAUGGUUCAUUCAAAUUUCUUCCCUAUCAACUUUCGAUGUUUGGGUAUUGGCCAAACAUGGUUGCAACGGGUAACGGAGGGUUAGGGCUCGACCCCGGAGAAGGAGCCUGAGAAACGGCUACUACAUCCAAGGAAGGCAGCAGG
rnacentral:rRNA from 1 species